rnacentral:rRNA from 1 species
UCUUGAUUAGUGGCGCACGGGUGAGUAAUAUAUAGAUUACGUGCCUCUUAGUCUGGGAUAGCCAUUGGAAACGAUGAUUAAUACCGGAUACUCCUUCUUAUCAUAUGGUAAGUUGGGAAAGUUUUUCGCUAAGAGAUCGGUCUAUAUCCCAUCAGCUAGUUGGUAGUGUAAGAGACUACCAAGGCUAUGACGGGUAGCGGGUUUGAGAGGAUGAUCCGCCACACUGGUACUGAGACACGGACCAGACUCC